rnacentral:rRNA from 1 species
CCCCUAGAUGUUCUGGGCCGCACGCGCGCUACACUGAACAGUUCAACAAGUCUUAACCUUGGCCGAUAGGUCUGGGUAAUCUUUGAACGCUGUUCGUGAUUGGGAUAGACCUUUGCAAUUAUGGGUCUUCAACGAGGAAUUCCUAGUAAACGCAAGUCAUCAGCUUGCAUUGAUUACGUCCCUGCCCUUUGUACACACCGCCCGUCGCACCUACCGAUUGAAUGGUCCGGUGAAAUCUCGGGACGGCGGCUUGGUCGCUUGCGUCCGACUGCUGAAACUUGAUAAAACCAUAUCAUUUAGAGGAAGGUGAANUCGUANCA